AUAUAUAUAUAUAUAUAUAUAUAUAUAUUUUAUAUAUUAGGGAAUAUUAUUAUUUUAUUAUAUACACAAGGUCUGGAUAUGAGGUAUUCUGCAAUCUGAUUGGUUCUCUACUAGCAGGAUAUUAGCUCAUAUCCUGCUAGUAGAGAAAAACAAAAUGGCGGCUAAAAUUGAAUUUCCGAUGUUUUGCGAACGAGAAAACGGCAAGUUGUUCGCUUUUUAUAGCCCUUUCAGGAUUAAAAACACAAUGAAAAAACUCCCACAAAUUGACCAUUUGCGUAAUAGACUAAAUUUUGAACUAAACAAGUCUAGACAAAAAUUUCAUCACAGCUUGAAGGAGCAUCACAAAAUUAGU